rnacentral:rRNA from 1 species
GAUGAACGCUAGCUACAGGCUUAACACAUGCAAGUCGAGGGGAAACGAUAUUGGAAGCUUGCUUCCGAUAGGCGUCGACCGGCGCACGGGUGAGUAACGCGUAUCCAACCUGCCCACCACUUGGGGAUAACCUUGCGAAAGUAAGACUAAUACCCAAUGAUAUCUCUAGAAGACAUCUGAAGGAGAUUAAAGAUUUAUCGGUGAUGGAUGGGGAUGCGUCUGAUUAGCUUGUUGGCGGGGUAACGGCCCACCAAGGCGACGAUCAGUAGGGGUUCUGAGAGGAAGGUCCCCCACAUUGGGACUGAGACACGGUCCAAACUCCUAUGGGAGGCAGCAGUGAGGAAUAUUGGUCAAGGGGCGGGAGCCUGAACCAGCCAAGUAGCGUGCAGGAUGACGGCCCUACGGGUUGUAAACUGCUUUUAUAAGGGAAUAAAGUGAGUCUCGUGAGACUUUUUGCAUGUACCUUAUGAAUAAGGACCGGCUAAUUCCGUGCCAGCCGCCGCCGUAA